UACGUAGGUCCCGAGCGUUAUCCGGAUUUAUUGGGUUUAAAGGGUGCGCAGGCGGCACGGCAAGCCGGCGGUCAAAUCGCGGGGCUCAACCCCGCCCAGCCGUCGGAACUGCCGGGCUAGAGUGGGCGAGAAGUGCGCGGAAUGCGUGGUGUAGCGGUGAAAUGCAUAGAUAUCACGCAGAACUCCGAUUGCGAAGGCAGCGCACCGGCGCCCUACUGACGCUCAGGCACGAAAGCGUGGGUAUCGAGCAGG
rnacentral:rRNA from 1 species